AUUACAUUAUUCAGAUGAAGUGUCUUUUAUAUCGUUUUAAAUUGGAUUGCGAACAAUCUGUCGAUAAGGACGAAUUGAAGAUUAUUGAAAAGUAUGGGAAACAAACAAAAUUUUACGCAUAUACCAUCAUUGUAUUGUUCAGCUUCUAUGUUAUUUCAAUAACAUUUUCGUGUAUUUUAAAUGUUAUUCUAUAUCUUUUUGGUAUAUUGAAGGAUGAUCAAUUAACAUUACCUCUUUUCGUUAAUAAUGUCCGAAAUGCUGGCUGGUUAUAUUAUUGUUUGCUUAUUUACCAAAUGUUAUCAUUUUAUAUUAUAUUGACAAUAGGCUGUGUGUCUUUUAUAACGUAUUUGGUAAUAAUACAACACGCAUGUUGUCAAUUUAAAAUUAUAAUAUCGAAAAUGCAGAAACUAUUUAUAAAUGAUCAAAACUAUAUACGAAAUACUAUUUCUAGAAAAAUAUCUUGGGAAGAAUUCAAUUGGAUAAUAGAUAUUAUAAUGCGUUAUAAAAAGGUCACGGAGUUAGUUCGAAAUAAACUUCUCAUCUUUCUUUAGAUUUCUAUAUUAAAAUUUAUUAUAAAUAAUUUAUUAUUUUUUUAAGGUAUGUUGAUUUGAUAAACAAUAGUCUCAACAUAAUGUAUUUAAUUGCCGUUUUC